rnacentral:ncRNA from 1 species
GUGUUGUUAGAAAGGAGAGAAGGUUAGCACUCCCCUCGAUAAGGACGGAAUGGGCCCUUGUGGCUCUUACAACACACAUGAGGCAGUGACUCUCUACUUAGGGGUCACACCUAUUUUUUU